rnacentral:rRNA from 1 species
UAAUACCAGCUCUCCGAGUGGUAGGGGUGAUUAUUGGGCCUAAAGCGUCCGUAGCCGGCCUGACAAGUCUCCCGUUAAAUCCAGCAACCUAAUUGUUGGGCUGCGGGGGAUACUGUUAGGCUAGGGGGCGGAAGAGGCCGACGGUAUUCCCGGGGUAGGGGUGAAAUCCUAUAAUCCCGGGAGGACCACCAGUGGCGAAGGCUGUCGGCUAAUACGCGCCUGACGGUGAGGGACGAAAGCUGGGGGAGCGAACCGGAUUAGAUACCCGGGUAGUCCCUGCUGUAAACGAUGCGGGCUAGGUGUUGGAGCGGCCACGAGCCGCUUCAGUGCCGCAGCGAAGGCGUUAAGCCCGCCGCCUGGGGAGUACGGCCGCAAGGCUG